GGCACUGCAACCCUCACCCUGAGGGCCUUCUACUCUUCCAGCCAAAGCUCUGUGAGGAUCCAGCCAGUGCAGGCAAUGCUGCCCUGCGGGGACGUGCAACAGGUCCCUGUGAGCUAUCGCAUCCUAGCCUCCGAGUUGGGGAAUGGGGCUGACAGAGCAGACUUCUACCACCUGGUUUUGGCCAGAGGAUCCCUCGUGCAUCAUGGCCAAACAACAGUACUUCUUGAUCCACCAUUAGGUCAGUAUAGUGGGGCUUUCAAUGUCACUCUACCCAUUGACCUCAUUUCACCCAUGGCUACCCUCUUUGUUUACACUGCCUUCCCUGAGGGACAAGUAGCAGCUGACACCUUCAGU
rnacentral:lncRNA from 1 species